rnacentral:rRNA from 1 species
AUCACUAAGCGGAGGAAAAGAAACUAACAAGGAUUCCCUUAGUAACGGCGAGUGAACAGGGAUAAGCCCAGCACCGAAGCCUGUGGCCGUUUGGCCCCUAGGCAAUGUGGUGUUCAGGUUAGCUCGCGGGGAUGCUGCUCCACCCUAAGUCCUAUAAUGAGUAAGGUUACUCGGACAUGGCCCACAGAGGGUGAAAGGCCCGUGGGGGUGGAGACUCAGAUUGGCCAGUAUCUCCCUGAGCAGACCUUGGAGUCGGGUUGUUUGUGAAUGCAGCCCAAAGCGGGUGGUAAACUCCAUCCAAGGCUAAAUACUUGCACGAGUCCGAUAGCGAACAAGUACCGUGAGGGAAAGUUGAAAAGUACUUUGAAGAGAGAGUAAACAGUGCGUGAAACCGCUCAGAGGUAAACGGGUGGAGUUGAACUGCAAGCUCUGAGGAUUCAGCUGGUGAGUUUGGCAUGAGCUUGGUCAUGUGGGUUGUGUGUUCGGGUCUGCUUAGCUGCAGGUCCUCGCCUUUGGUGGGGAUGCGCGUAUCGCUUAUCAAGCGUUGUGCGCCCGUUCUUCUCGGACCUGCUCGCCAGUGCACUUUCUCAGAGUGUUCACCACGACCGGCGUUGUCGUCUGGCUGGUGCGGUUAAACCGGCCUUGUAGGGUCCUUGUGGCCUUGCCUGGUCGGGAUGGCAGGUAGCCCGUUGUGUACUUCGGUGUGCUUCGGGUGUAAUAGCCGACUGCAUCGGUUCUGUGCGAUAUGUCGGAGACGGCGGCUUGUUGUGCGUGCGGGCGUGCCUGUUGCGCUGGCGGCUCUGGGUCUGGUUGCCUUGUUGCUUGUAAAUGCAAGCCAGGUGAUGGCCCGGGGUCGUUUGGUGUGCGGUUGCGUUCGUGGCACUUUAAAGGGCCUACAGUCUGUGGUGUAGUGGUAGACUAUCCACCUGACCCGUCUUGAAACACGGACCAAGGAGAGUAACAUGUGCGCGAGUCAUUGGGCGUUACGAAACCCAAAGGCGAAGUGAAAGUAAAGGUUCGGCUUGUCUGGACUGAGGUGAGAUCCUGUCGUUUCUCACGCGUGGUACUACCAAGCAUCGAGCGGCAGGCGCAUCACCGGCCCGUCCCAUGGCGUAGAAGCGGCCUCGUGCUUGCUCAUCGUCGGGGCGGAGCAUGAGCGUACAUGUUGAGACCCGAAAGAUGGUGAACUAUGCUUGCGCAGGUUGAAGCCAGAGGAAACUCUGGUGGAGGACCGCAGCGAUUCUGACGUGCAAAUCGAUCGUCAAACGUGAGUAUAGGGGCGAAAGACUAAUCGAACCAUCUAGUAGC